AUAGCCUGGGCUGGAGUUAAUGAUGAAGAUGACGGUGAUGGUGAGUAUUGUGACCAUAGCCUGGGCUGGAGUUAAUGAUGAAGAUGACGGUGAUGGUGAGUACUGUGAACAUAGCCUGGGCUGGAGUUAAUGAUGAUGAUGACAGUGAUGGUGAUGGUGAGUUCUGUGAACAUAGCCUGGGCUGGAGUUAAUGAUGAUGAUGACGGUGAUGGUGAGUACUGUGAACAUAGCCUGGGCUGGAGUUCAUGAUGAAGAUGACGGUGAUGGUGAGUACUGUGAACAUAGCCUGGGCUGGAGUUAAUGAUGAUGAUGACGGUGAUGGUGAGUACUGUGAACAUAGCCUGGGCUGGAGUUAAUGAUGAUGACGGUGAUGGUGAGUAUUGUGAACAUAGCCUGGGCUGGAGUUAAUGAUGAAGAUGACGGUGAUGGUGAGUAUUGUGACCAUAGCCUGGGCUGGAGUUAAUGAUGAUGGUGACAGUGAUGGUGAUGGUGAGUACUGUGAACAUAGCCUGGGCUGGAGUUAAUGAUGAUGACGGUGAUGGUGAGUAUUGUGAACAUAGCCUGGGCUGGAGUUAAUGAUGAAGAUGACGGUGAUGGUGAGUAUUGUGACCAUAGCCUGGGCUGGAGUUAAUGAUGUUGAUGACGGUGAUGGUGAGUAUUGUGACC
rnacentral:lncRNA from 1 species